rnacentral:lncRNA from 1 species
UGUCUGCUGCCCCACCGCUCUAAGCUCCAAGCACUGAACCCAUUGCUUUUCUUCCAGGGAAUGAGACCCACUGCCCCUGGGUUGACAGAUCUUGUUUUCUGGGUGUGAAGCCUACCCUCCCCCACCUUGCCUUCCUGAGGUCACAGCAUUCAGUCUUGUCACCCCAGAGCUUGCAGUAACUGCUUUGGCCUCAGGCUAAGCCAUUGCUGUAUGACACAUGGAAAAAUAAGACAGAGCUACUGCAUGUAAUUUUAGCUCCCUCAGCUCAGUUCUCGGAAGCCCCACCCUUACCUCCCAGGUCUGUUCUGUCCUCUUGGGUAUCUGUCAUUCUUUGCUCUCUGCAUCCCUCAGUCAGCUGCAAGGAUUACCUGCCUCUCUUCUGUCUUCAAGGCUCUCUGGUCUCCUGCAGGGGACAUGGCUGGCUAGGAUUUCAAGUUGUAUUUUUUAAAUAUAACGUGUGAGGGAUUUGACAUGUAGGAGGAAGGGAUCCUGCUCCUGUGGCCAUUUGUCUUCCCUGAUUUAACAACUCCAGGAAACAGAUAUCUUUCCUGUUGCAACAAUGAGUCGCUCGCUGGUUGCCACCCAGGGGUUUGGCUUGGAGACCCUUCUCACUUCUUUCUCCUUUCUCAUGCUCUCCGUGGAGAGUGGACACUGGCUUCGUCUUACAGAAUGAUGUCCUUGGCGUUAGUGUGGAAGGAGCAUCCAGACCCAAGCUUCCAGAAGAAGCAUCUUUCAGGCUGAUGAGAUCGAGAGGCUGGUGCUACUCCAGGCAUUAUGCACAAUCACCUUGGCAGGAUGACAAGCCAUAGGAAGCCCAGGGUGACCGGUCUCCGAAGCCCUCAUGGUGUAGACACUAAGAGGUUAUUCCCAACGAGAUGCUAAGAGAGAUGAAACAGCAGGAAGCUUGCCAUUUAGACCGGUCCAGCCUCACUUCAACUAACCACUUCUCUUGUUCACCAACGGAACCUACCACCUUCCCAUUAACCCUCAACUGAAAUCCAAAGCCCUCAGGGAGUUCUGUGUUGCAUAGUCUGCCUGGCUCCUUCCAUCCCUCCCAUCUCCUCAUCAUGUGGAUCCAACCUCAGACUACACUUGAACAUUCCCCAAAUGUGCUCACUCAGCGUUGGCAUGAAAGCGCUGUGCGAUGCUCUCUCCGGCUUCACAAGACAAGCCCUUCAUGCUUGGCAGAUGUCUCCCCUCCCACUCCCAGCUACCUCUGUCAUGGCAGGAGCCUUGACGUAGUUCUGUUCUGUUCUCUUUCCAGGCCUUCCUUGUUCUAUGACAUCCCAAACAUUUCCUCUUUUCUGUCUCCACAUGAGAACAAGGUCUACAAACAUGGAGCUUUGUGGUUUUUUUUUUUUUUUUUUUUUUGGUUUUUUUUUUUUUUUGGUUUUUUUUUUUUGUUGUUGUUGUUUUUUUGGUUUUUUAAUGAAACAAAUGACAGCCUCUCCCAACCACACAGGUGAAUUCAGCUUUAAAAUAAUGGACUCUCCCUCUCCACAGCACAGGCAAACUAAAUGUCAGAAUGAAUUAUUUGACACAGAGUUCAAUAUAGAAAAAAAAAAUCAUCUGAUACAGCAAUUUCACUUUUGUAGAAAAUAUUUAAUCUCAAUCCAGGGUUUCCACCCAGCCUUUGAUUAUUCAGUUCCCUUUACAAGAAGCCCAAAUCAGCACUAGAGCUGGGCAGAUAUCUGCCCCUGUAUAUUAUUAAAAUCAAUUUCCUUUUGAUAACCCUUACCAUGUUUCAUCUGAGCUGCUCUUAACUCCAAUUGGCCAGCCCUCAGGGCCAUGCUUUCUUGACUCCUAACCCAUGGUGUCUUUCUCCUCCCUUCACCUUCUCUUUUCCCUCUUGGUUCUCCUCCGAUCCCCAAGCCCUGGAACCCAAUACCCUGCCUAUCUCUCUUCUUCUCAACUACUGACUAUAGAUAUCUUACAUAGCAUCACUUGAGUAUGGCAGACUCUCUCAACCCUGGGAGCAACCAGGCCUAGGGGGCCAGUACUUAUCAUUACAAUACAUCUCAAAAAAAUCAAACCUCAAUGCUUCACUCUUCACCAUACAAUCAAAAAUUUAAAAGCAAUGGCUCCUAAAGGUGCUGGAGUUUGUAGCUGGAUUGCUCAGAGUGGUCAGAGGCAAAACAACCCAUGAUAGUUAAUCGACGAUAUGAUAAUAGAUGAUAGAUAGAUGACAGAUAGAUGAUAGAUUAUAGAUUCAUAGUUAGACAAUAGAUGAUAGAUAGGUAAUAGAUAGAUAAAUAAUAGUAAUAAGACAUGUAGGAAGAUGAUACAUAUAUGAUAGCUAGAUAGAUAAUAGUAGGUAGAUAAAAGGUAGAAAGAUAGAUAAAUACAUAGAUUAAUAGAUCAAUAGAUUGAGAGAUGAUAGAUAUGAUAGGUAGGUAUUUAGAUGAUAAUGAUUGAUAGAUAGGUCAACAGAUAUAGAUAGACAGACAGACAGAUAGAUGACAGAUACGUUACAGCACUCACUCUACUUGUCUUAAUUUUAAGAAAUUGGAUUAGCUUAUGCUGAGUUUUAUUAGAUGAAUCAGCACCAGCAAGAAUUUUUUCCAUCUGUUUAGCUUAAUAUUGUAGCGAAACUCCCAACUUAGCAUUCUUUAUUGGUUUUAUUAAAAUGAGCUCUGAUAAUUAUGCAUGCAAUCCAGCACUAGGCAAGGCAGAGGAGACACUUCCACUGCUGAAUUCUUAUUUAUCCUGAUGUCAUCUGUGAACAGUACUCUGUGUUUUUUUUUACCCAUAUAUUAUUUCUGUUCCCUCAAGAUUCCAAAAAAAAAAAAUCACUUCUACAAAUGUUUGUCAAAAUUGGUAGCACUUUAACAAAUAGCUCUCAAAUACAGUACCUGCUAACAUGUCAUUAAAUAUUCUCUUUUGAAUAUAAUUUAGACCUUUCAGUUACAUCGGGAAAUUCACUAAUAUAUUUCCAUAAAUUACAAUAAAUAAUAUCCUGUUAAGCU